rnacentral:rRNA from 1 species
UACGGAGGGUGCAAACGUUGCUCGGAAUCAUUGGGCGUAAAGCGCACGUAGGCGGCCUGAUAAGUCGGGUGUGAAAGCCCUGGGCUCAACCCAGGAAGUGCACUCGAAACUGUCAGGCUUGAAUAUGGAAGAGGGUCGCGGAAUUCCCGGUGUAGAGGUGAAAUUCGUAGAUAUCGGGAGGAACACCAGUGGCGAAGGCGGCGACCUGGGCCAAUAUUGACGCUGAGGUGCGAAAGCGUGGGGAGCAGACAGG